CGCGUAGGCGGGCCAUCAAGUCCGGGGUGAAAUCCUUCGGCUUAACCGGAGAAUUGCCUUGGAUACUGGUGGUCUUGAGGGAAGUAGGGGUCUGCGGAACUUCCGGUGGAGCGGUGAAAUGUGUUGAUAUCGGAAGGAACGCCGGUGGCGAAAGCGGCGGACUGGGCUUCUUCUGACGCUGAGGCGCGAAAGCUAGGGGAGCAAAACG
rnacentral:rRNA from 1 species